GAAAACAAUUGUUGGAGCCACACUAUAACUGUGGUUCUUUAUCUUUCCUUUAUUUCUUUUUCUUUCCCAGAGCAAGAAUAACCUUCAAAGAAGUUUUUGAUCUGAGAUACCCAUUUUCUUGGACCGUAAUCUUAACCCAUAUGCCAUCUAGCUAUGAACUUCUUUUUGAUGAGAAAAGCUGAAGAGGGAGAGAAAUGGUCUGGAUCUAAUCUGGCAGGCAGAAGAUAUGUGGUUCAAAAAUAGUCAGGAUUUUUUAGAGUCUUCAGGGAGUGAAAGAGGCAACCAUGUGACAUUAAAUUCCAGUUCUAAAUAUCCCCCAGCCUCUUAUUUAUGAAGCAAGCUGUAUUAACAAGCAUGGGUAAGCACACAAACAAAAUCUGGCUCUUUCAAGGAACAAAGGAUGUGAGUAGCUCACAGAUUCAACAAAAGUCUGGUGAACCAGACUCAGAAAACAAGCAGGAAUCAAGAAAAUAUGGCUGCAUGAUACAGCCUGGGUCAUGCCCCUGACAACUCAUGCGUUAGCAUCUCUACACCUCUGUUAUGUAUGGAUAACUCUCAACUGUGCCUGGGUGUUUCUGUUUCUUCCUCCAGAUUUGAGGCGCUGGGCAGCAGUCGGAAGCUGAGCUCAGACCACAUUUUACUCUGUUAGCCUACUGUAAGCUAACAACCUGUAUUAGGCUUCAGUAAGGGGAAAUAGGUAGUUCCUCCCAAAACAUCCACCCUAGGGGAUGACUUCAAAUAAAGAGGGUGUCUAGAUCCUGUGGAGCUAAAACACAAAACAAGAACUACACGUGCAAGUACAAAAAGAAUGGAGAUGGAAGAUCAAAACAAGACAACUCCUGAUCUGCUUGUGCAUUUGUCUUUCCAGGUAAAAAGAAAUACAGAAAGGCAGCAAAGUAAUUUAUUAUACUCCAUAACUGAGACUGGGAGAUGGGAGGAAAAAGAAAGACUUAAAUGCUUCAGUCAAGAUAACCUUCCCUUACCCCUGAAAGCUAAGAGUUCAAGGAAAAAUUCAGCCAAGAAAUCAGCUGACUCCUAA
ensembl:lncRNA